GCCGCUGUGGUGGAACUUGGUAGACACGCAGGCAUGAGGGGCCUGAGGAGAACAUCCGUGCCGGUUCGAGUCCGGCCAGCGGCA